GAUGAACGCUAGCUACAGGCUUAACACAUGCAAGUCGAGGGGUAUCAGGAAGAAAGCUUGCUUUCUUUGCUGGCGACCGGCGCACGGGUGAGUAACACGUAUCCAACCUGCCCUUUACUCGGGGAUAGCCUUUCGAAAGAAAGAUUAAUACCCGAUAGUAUAAUGAUUCCGCAUGGUUUGAUUAUUAAAGGAUUCCGGUAAAGGAUGGGGAUGCGUUCCAUUAGGUUGUUGGUGAGGUAACGGCUCACCAAGCCUUCGAUGGAUAGGGGUUCUGAGAGGAAGGUCCCCCACAUUGGAACUGAGACACGGUCCAAACUCCUACGGGAGGCAGCAGUGAGGAAUAUUGGUCAAUGGGCGGUAGCCUGAACCAGCCAAGUAGCGUGAAGGAUGAAGGCUCUAUGGGUCGUAAACUUCUUUUAUAUAAGAAUAAAGUGCAGUAUGUAUACUGUUUUGUAUGUAUUAUAUGAAUAAGGAUCGGCUAACUCCGUGCCAGCAGCCGCGGUAAUACGGAGGAUCCGAGCGUUAUCCGGAUUUAUUGGGUUUAAAGGGAGCGUAGGUGGACUGGUAAGUCAGUUGUGAAAGUUUGCGGCUCAACCGUAAAAUUGCAGUUGAUACUGUCAGUCUUGAGUACAGUAGAGGUGGGCGGAAUUCGUGGUGUAGCGGUGAAACGCUUAGAUAUCACAAAGAACUCCGAUUGCGAAGGCAGCUCACUGGACUGCAACUGACACUGAUGCUCGAAAGUGUGGGUAUCAAACAGGAUUAGAUACCCUGGUAGUCCACACAGUAAACGAUGAAUACUCGCUGUUUGCGAUAUACAGUAAGCGGCCAAGCGAAAGCAUUAAGUAUUCCACCUGGGGAGUACGCCGGCAACGGUGAAACUCAAAGGAAUUGACGGGGGCCCGCACAAGCGGAGGAACAUGUGGUUUAAUUCGAUGAUACGCGAGGAACCUUACCCGGGCUUAAAUUGCAGUGGAAUGAUGUGGAAACAUGUCAGUGAGCAAUCACCGCUGUGAAGGUGCUGCAUGGUUGUCGUCAGCUCGUGCCGUGAGGUGUCGGCUUAAGUGCCAUAACGAGCGCAACCCUUAUCUUUAGUUACUAACAGGUCAUGCUGAGGACUCUAGAGAGACUGCCGUCGUAAGAUGUGAGGAAGGUGGGGAUGACGUCAAAUCAGCACGGCCCUUACGUCCGGGGCUACACACGUGUUACAAUGGGGGGUACAGAAGGCAGCUAGCGGGUGACCGUAUGCUAAUCCCAAAAGCCUCUCUCAGUUCGGAUCGAAGUCUGCAACCCGACUUCGUGAAGCUGGAUUCGCUAGUAAUCGCGCAUCAGCCACGGCGCGGUGAAUACGUUCCCGGGCCUUGUACACACCGCCCGUCAAGCCAUGGGAGCCGGGGGUACCUGAAGUACGUAACCGCAAGGAUCGUCCUAGGGUA
rnacentral:rRNA from 1 species